rnacentral:rRNA from 1 species
UACGUAGGGUGCAAGCGUUAAUCGGAAUUACUGGGCGUAAAGCGUGCGCAGGCGGUUGUGCAAGACCGAUGUGAAAUCCCCGGGCUUAACCUGGGAAUGGCAUUGGUGACUGCACGGCUAGGGUGUGUCAGAGGGGGGUAGAAUUCCACGUGUAGCAGUGAAAUGCGUAGAGAUGUGGAGGAAUACCGAUGGCGAAGGCAGCCCCCUGGGAUAACACUGACGCUCAUGCACGAAAGCGUGGGGAGCAAACAGG